GCACUGGUGGUUUAGUGGCAGAAUUCUCGCCUUUCGUGUGGGAGACCCAAGUUCAAUUCCUGGCCAACGCA
rfam:Loxodonta africana unplaced genomic scaffold scaffold_55, whole genome shotgun sequence.